AGAUGCCAGUGAUUCAGAUCCCUGCACAACAGAAAUACAACAAUAACUAAGAAUGACAGAAUAUACAGAAGAUAACAGUAAUAAAUAAUAACUUUUUUUGUGUCUCACCAUCUGUGGUCUAAUGGCGCAAUCAUUAUUGCCUAUGGCACGCACAACUGGCACAUGCUUUAUGACAGAUAUAAAAUUGUUCUAUGGAUAUUACAAGCCAAUCCGCCACCUCACAAACUUAGCAAGGAAUUCAAUAAUUUACCGUAUUAAGGAAA
rnacentral:misc_RNA from 1 species